UCGAGAAUCUUCCGCAAUGGGCGAAAGCCUGACGGAGCGACACCGCGUGCAGGAUGAAGGCCUUCGGGUUGUAAACUGCUGUCACGCUAUAGGAAAAGCGCUCAGCGCCUUGACCAAAGCGAGAGGAAGCACCGGCUAACUCCGUGCCAGCAGCCGCGGUAAGACGGAGGGUGCAAACGUUGUUCGGAAUUACUGGGCAUAAAGAGCACGUAGGCGGCUCGUCAAGUCACGCGUGAAAUCCCUCGGCUCAACCGGGGAACUGCGUGUGAUACUGGCGGGCUAGAGGACGGUAGGGGUGAGCGGAACUCCAGGUGGAGCGGUGAAAUGCGUAGAUAUCUGGAGGAACACCGGUGGCGAAAGCGGCUCACUGGACCGUAACUGACGCUGAGGUGCGAAAGCUAGGGUAGCAAACGGGAUUAGAUACCCCCGUAGUCC
rnacentral:rRNA from 1 species